UGCAAGUCGCACGGUAUGGGGGCAACUCUGUGCAGUGGCGGACGGGUGAGUAACGCGUAGGAAUCUAUCCUUGGAUGGGGGACAACCGUGGGAAACUACGGCUAAUACCGCAUGAUGCCUGAGGGCCAAAGCUCGCAAGAGCGCCUGAUGAGGAGCCUGCGUCCGAUUAGCUAGUUGGUGGGGUAACGGCCUACCAAGGCUACGAUCGGUAGCUGGUCUGAGAGAAUGAUCAGCCACACUGGGACUGAGACACGGCCCAGACUCCUAUGGGAGGCAGCAGUGGGGAAUAUUGGACAAUGGGCGCAAGCCUGAUCCAGCAAUGCCGCGUGUGUGAAGAAGGUCUUCGGAUUGUAAAGCACUUUCGGCGGGGACGAUGAUGACGGUACCCGCAGAAGAAGCCCCGGCUAACUUCGUGCCGGCAGCCGCGGUAAUACGAAGGGGGCUAGCGUUGCUCGGAAUGACUGGGCGUAAAGGGCGCGUAGGCGGAUGACAUAGUCGGGCGUGAAAUUCCUGGGCUCAACCUGGGGACUGCGUUCGAGACGUGUUGUCUUGAGUUCGGAAGAGGGUCGUGGAAUUCCCAGUGUAGAGGUGAAAUUCGUAGAUAUUGGGAAGAACACCGGUGGCGAAGGCGGCGACCUGGUCCGAUACUGACGCUGAGGCGCGAAAGCGUGGGGAGCAAACAGGAUUAGAUACCCUGGUAGUCCACGCUGUAAACGAUGUGCGCUGGAUGUUGGGUGACCUAGUCACUCAGUGUCGUAGCUAACGCGAU
rnacentral:rRNA from 1 species